rnacentral:snRNA from 12 species
AUUUCCCCAAGGUGGUUUUCUCAGGGUGAGACCUGUCCAUUGGACUCUGGGGCAGGCUGACCCCUGCAAGUUUCCCUAGUGCAGGAAACUCAAUUACACGAUUUGUGAUAAUGGGGGGCUAUGUUUACGUUUUCCCCUU